UGCAGAUGAUGUUAAGAAUAUUUGCUAUCUUAACUACAAUGAAGACAUCCCACCAAGAUCACUGAUGCA
ensembl:snoRNA SNORD24 Small nucleolar RNA SNORD24